GGGAAUAUACCUUAGUGGUAGAGCAUUCGACUGCAGAUCGAGAGGUCCCUGGUUCGAACCCGGGUGUCCUA
rnacentral:tRNA from 1 species